GACGAACGCUGGCGGCGUGCUUAACACAUGCAAGUCGAACGGAAAGGCCCUGCUUUUGUGGGGUGCUCGAGUGGCGAACGGGUGAGUAACACGUGAGUAACCUGCCCUUGACUUUGGGAUAACUUCAGGAAACUGGGGCUAAUACCGGAUAGGAGCUCCUGCUGCAUGGUGGGGGUUGGAAAGUUUCGGCGGUGGGGGAUGGACUCGCGGCUUAUCAGCUUGUUGGUGGGGUAGUGGCUUACCAAGGCUUUGACGGGUAGCCGGCCUGGGAGGGUGGCCGGCCACAUUGGGACUGAGAUACGGCCCAGAAUCCUACGGGAGGCAGCGGUGGGGAAUAUUGCACAAUGGGCGGAAGCCUGAUGCAGCAACGCCGCGUGCGGGAUGACGGCCUUCGGGUUGUAAACCGCUUUCGCAUGUGCCGAAGCGUUAGUGACGGUAAUGGGUAAAGAAGCACCGGCUAACUACGUG
rnacentral:rRNA from 1 species